GACGGAGGGUGCAAGCGUUGUUCGGAAUUACUGGGCGUAAAGCGCGGGCAGGUGGCCUUUUAAGUCCUUUGUGAAAUCCCGGGGCUCAACUCCGGAUGUGCAGAGGAUACUGGAGGGCUUGAGACUGGUAGAGGCGAGCGGAAUUCCUGGUGUAGCGGUGGAAUGCGUAGAUAUCAGGAAGAACACCGGUGGCGAAGGCGGCUCGCUGGGCCAGAUCUGACACUCAGCCGCGAAAGCGUGGGGAGCAAACAGG
rnacentral:rRNA from 1 species